rnacentral:rRNA from 1 species
AACGGUCAUACCAUGCUGGCGAAUAUGCCGAUUUCUCGUUAGAUCACCGAAGUCAAGCAUCAUUGGGCGUGGUCAGUACUUGGGUGACCCCCUGGGAACACCGCGUGCCGUU